CAUAUGAAUAUAUAUAUCACUUGGUAAUGAUGCCAAGAGAUAAUGAUCCAAUACAUUUUUAUAACAUAAUUGGAAAGAAUUUCUUGAUAAUUUUCUGUUUUAAAAUUGUCUUAACAUUGAAAAAAAUCAUGGAUGAAAUCAGGAGCCAGUUUUUUUUAUAAAAUCGGAAAGAUGAAUGGCAACAAAAAGAAAAAAGGUAAAAAAAUAUUUGGUGACAUAUUGAAUAACCAAAUGCCAACAUGACUUUAAAUAGGUGCCGAUUUGACUGGAUUUCGAUUUGACCAGGUGCCGAUUUGACGUUUUCUAUAGGUGCCGAAUUGACCAGGUGCCAAUUUGACUUGUACCCAUUGAACUAUACGUUGCAUAUUGUAUGAAAAAAGAUAUUCUUACCUUCUGAAUGACUUGAUGUAAGUCUCUACGUCAUUAGAUUAAUUCAUUUAUAUUUCCCUUUCUUUACUUUUUAUGUUUGCUUUUGCGCAUGCCUUUCUGCAUUAUUAUGUGUAAGUUGUUGUCUUUGUUUAUAAAAUUUAGGAGAUGUGAUAUGAUUGCCAAUGACACAACUAUCUACCAAAGUUCAUUUAGUAGCUUUAACAUUAUUUAAACUGUCAUUAGUUUACAUUUUGAUUUUCCAUUGUAUUCAGUUGUGUUGGAAACAUUCACACAAUUCAGUAAAAUUUUAAGCACUUUUGAAAUUCAACGUAAUGUAUUGUGUCAUUUAUAAAUUCCCUAACAUAUGGGGACGGGGAGUGUUACUCAAUCAAUGUCAGCUGUUUGACACUUUUCUUCUUGGUACUAUGUUAUUUCUUGAUUCAGAACUUCUACUUUUGAAACAUAACUUCUCAGCAAUACUCGCAGCAUAAAUUUGACGUCACAAUUGAUUCCUACUAAAGUCACUACGAUCAUUCGAUCGAGUAUGUCCUUGGAGUCUGUUGAAAUGCAUUGAAAGUUAAGGAGUCAUAAGAAACUACUUUGCAACGAUAUAAGUUUAAAUGAAGUUCAGUUUAUUUUAAUUUGAAAUGUCGACUAAUUUUCUAGAACUCUAGACCGUAAGUUUUCUAAAAAUUAACAAAGGCAAAAUAAUGUCCUAUGAUGAAUUCAGUUCGUGCUUGAGUGUUACAUUGAAAUAUAUUUUUUAAGUUCCUACAAUAAAAUAAAGGCACGUUUGAAAUGUUUUUGCUACAUUUAUAUUGCUUACCUUAUGUCUCUUGACUUAUUUAUUAUUUCAUUGUUCAUUUUGUUACAAAGUCAUGGUCGUCUAACUAAAAUGAAAAGACUUUGCAGGUUGGACGUUUACUGUUACCUGGUUACUACGUUGUCCAUACAACAUAUUUACCUUUUAAUUUAUCAAAACGGGAUUCCGUAUCAUGUAAUGCUUUUGUGUUUGACCUAAUUACUUUCAAGCAUUGAAUAUAUAUAUCUACUGUGACAAACAGAUUAUGUUCAGCUUUUAAUAUUUUGUUGCCAAUGGUGAUUUUGAUCAUUCAAUUAUCUCAAAAUCGUAAAAAAACGAUUUUAUAUCAAUAAAAACAGUUCGUGAAUAUGUAGCAUAUAAUUACUUUGCAACAUUAGUUUCUACACAAAAAGAAGGUCAUAUUCGAUUUAAAAUUUGUCACAACGUCUGUUUCAGAGUUAUGUUCCUUCCAAAUACCGAGUUUGAUGAUCUUCGUUGGUAGCAUUCUUGUUUUCUAGAACCUUAUGUUGUUUUAGUUAAGAUCUUAUAAUUCUGCAAGUCUUCAUAUUCUUUUCAUAUAAGUCGAAUUUGGCGUCCAAAUAUGAUUAAGUCAGAUAUUCUACUUAAUACCGUUAGAUUGGUUUGUUGUCCGUGCAAUAUCCACAUAAUAUUCCAUUAAAAGUUAUGAUCAGUGACCUUUUAGCUAUCAAUAAAAUUGCUGCAUUCACAAUGUUUUCGUAUUUUUCAACAAAUAUUGUUGGGUUAACUAAAAAACAUUUUCGAAUGUAGUCUAAAAAUUCUAUCUUUUAAUUAUUUUAUUCCUUGACAUCGCUCCGAUUAUAUGCACCGACAUGGCUGAAAAAUCGCGAUUCAUAAAUCUUAGAAAAACCGACAAACCGAGAUACUUGUGACUUUUUUUGGAGUCACUGCGGCUCCCAUUUUUUGGUUUGUUACAUUGAUGAAAAUCUUCUGAAAGUAUUUAUGAAGUUUUGUUAAAUCAAUGUUUCCUAAAUGUAUCUGUUGAAAUAUCAAGACAGAAAUAUUGAUAAAACUUUCCUUGGUUUCUAUUUUCAGAUAAUCCUGAACCUCCUGAAAAUUUGUCAGCCGUUUUGAAUUCUACCACUUUUGUGGUGUAUUGGCAUCCUGGAUUUCAUGGAGGAAUUCCUCAAAGAUUUUAUAUUGAGUAUAGACCGGAAACAAAACCAGAAUGGGAGGUUGUAGGACCCAUAGUGCAAUCAAACCUCUCAAUGGACCGAGAGUUAGAGUACAGACUAAAAUAUGUACUAAUCGCUAAUAAAUAUUACUUACGGAUGUAUGCUAAAAAUCUUGUUGGACAAAGUAAUUACUCAAACAUCUUUUUUGUAGAGAUGGAAGACUGUAGCUGCAACUCCGAGAAGUAUAAUAAUCGUAUAUGGCAGAUAGCAAGUAGUUUCUUAGGAGGAAGUCUUAUUGUCAGCAUUUGUGUGAAUAUUUAUUGCUCACUGAAACGUAGGAAAAAUUCCGGAAUUGUUUUAGAAAUUCCACUUGAAGGUCAAUACUAUGAAAUUGGAUCCAUCAAUGAUGACAAUGCGAGUAUCCAAGGCAUACUAAACCAUUUACAAGAAGCAGUAACUAGUGCCGACAGACCAGCUUCACAAAGUACCAACAGUAAUGUAUCUUCUUUUCAAAACAUGUCCUCUUCGGGAAGUUCGGUACCCAGUCUAUCAAAUCUACUGCUGAAUAAAGACGAAUAUGAAAAUCCUUAUGAGACGAUUGACAAUGAAAAUAUUGAAAUGCAUCCAUAUAGUAUCAUAACGUCAAAUAUGUAUCAAAACACUACCGUUUUUCAUAAAAAUAUACGUACUAACAAAAUUGAGCAUCCUAUUCAAAACGAUAAAAAAAGAGAUCCAUGGCUAAUCAUUUACAACAAAAACUUUGUAAAUACAUAAACAAGAAAACUUAUUUUUCUUGUGAAGAACUCGAAACAGACAAUUAAUGCACUCCUUCUUACCCUUGAAGGCGUGGCGGUAACACUUGUAAUAAAUUAACUCGACGAACGUAUGGGAAUAAUAAACACGGAUCCAAUUCGAUUCCCGAUUUACAUGAUGCAUUCGUUUAAACUCUCCUUGGACGGAGACAUUAUUUCUAAAUUGUCUUUAUGACGUUUGAUAAACAAUUUUUCUUUUUUUCUGAUAAUUCAAAAUAUACAUUGUACCUGAUGUUUAAGUCUUUGAUUCUCAUUAAUUUAUUUUUAAAUGUGAAUUUGUAAAUAAGAUACAAUCAAUAACUUCAGUAUGGAAAUGCAAAUUAUUUGUGUCGAAUCGCUAUAUCAAUACAUAAACGACAAAACCGGCCGACUAGGGUAUAGACAUAUUGUUAUCUGAACCCCUUCCAUCUAGCAGUAAAAUAUGUUCCUUUUGGUGUUUAAUGUCGCAGGUAGUCCGGUUUGGAAUGGGAUUUCUUAAUCAGAUGCCUAGUGUAGAGAGAAUGACUUAACGGAACUCUCCUAACAACUCUUUUAUGGGUCUGUAUGUGACCUUAUGAAAGGAAGAAUGUCUUCAACAAACAGAAUACUCUUCUUUUUUUAACAGUUUCAAGUUUUAACCCUUUGUACUGGUUGGCAUAUUUUGCAAAACCCUUCAAUUGAAUGUAUUGUUAAUUUAUGUGCCUUUAUAAAUGCAUGAAAUAUUGGCCACAAGCCUGUAAGCAAACAGAGACAAGUAAAUUUAUUUCCAGUUUUGUUUUGAAUUAUGAAAAAUGUUUCAUUACGGAGUCAUUAUUUGGAAGAAGGUAUUGGAUUAUUAGAAAGUCGAGUUGGGAGUUAAAGUUUGAACUAAAUUAUUUAGAAUCUCUCGUCAUUAUGAAAACAUAAACAUUGCUAUUUCCAUUUACCGUUGUUAUAUUGUCCUAUUCCACAUAUGGGGUUGAGAACUAUUUGUAAUAUAAAGGACCAAUUUGAACCUACAUGUAAUUUGUCACAUGGAUUGUAGAAGGAGAAAACACAUUUAACGGAUUCGUUUUUAUAGUGAUUAAGAUUAUGACACACUGUUGACUGCUGUACCCCAAUUUUUUACAUUUUUACCUACCAUGUCUGUUUGUUUUGAUCACACAUUGUUCUCAAUAUAAUAAAAUUAUAUGCAAAUGUCA